GGUCUUUUGAAUCGGGGAGGGACUCCUCCCAUCUCGGCGUAUGUGGUUCUUUGGUGUGGAACAAUCCCCGGACGCAAGACUUGCCGUUUAAUAGAUAGAACUAGAGGUUAAUACUAAAAACGUCCUUUCUUUCAUGAAACUAUUUCACAGCAUAGUGAAAACUAUGAUAAGGCAGACCUGUAGCUGGAGCUGUUCGCCCGUAGCUCGUCGCCGAAGAACGAUGUUACCCAAGUUGUUGCAUACCACAUGUUCUUUCUCUUACAGGUUGGGGGGGCAGAGUAGGCGAGGUGGCGCGAUAGAAAAUUAUUUAUUCGAGGUUGAGUUUCGAAUUAGCAAAUAACUUAUUCAACGUUCGAAUAUGGAACAGUUACUUGUUCAACGUUGAAUGUCGAACGUCAAACGAGGAACGAGGAACUAACUUCACAUCGGUUAAUCUCAUUUGGAAUUUACUAAAUCGAGGUUGCAGGAGAAGGGAGGGAUGGUUACUAACGAAGAGUGAAAUCAACUUAGGGAACCUUAGACCAUCUCCAUUUCUCCAUGCGUAGACCGACAGCGCAGCCCGUUCAAAACCAGGCCGAGCUCCCCCUGAAAUAUCAGUCCGACGCAGAAAAUUAAAGCUGAAGACUAUCACGUGUAUGUAGUGCCCGUAUGGUACGCCAUGCACUUCGCGGGCUCCGAAGGAAUGCAAUGUCGAUGAGACCAAGCCAUGGAAAGCUUAAGGAUGGAAAUAAGCAUUGAAAUGAAAUGAUGACGUAUUGAGGGCGCUGCUUAUCCUAGUCACACGUCUACAGCAUGAUAUGCAUUCUGCCCUGAUCUACAGCUGCAGAUUGAAAGGAAGCUGAGCAAGGUGACCAAUAUUGCAAGUGUGGACUUGCACAGGGCUCCCAGCUCCCCUCACAGCAGUCCAUGGAGUUGACCAAAGGAGUUGAAGAGCGGAAUACUGUCUGAAAACAUGAAUAAUAUUGAUGAUCGGCAGAAUGAUGCAAACCAAAUGAGACAGAGACAAGCAGGAUCUGCUUACUUGAAAGUUUAAAUUCAGCAGAUGAUGACCUCAUAGAUCAAGAUUUAAUGGAGGAAAGGAGUGGAUUUCCUGAGGUGGCCCCUGAUGCAUGGAGGAGUGACUGAAAGGAACACUUACAAGCCUCCAUCUUAUGGAUGUUGGUACCAAUUCCUCUAUCUUGCCAAAGAGUGACGCUGGUGUGGACAGUGCUUGGGAGGUACCCUCAGGAGCACUGAUUGGCAGGAA
rnacentral:lncRNA from 1 species